GAGUUUGAUCAUGGCUCAGGAUGAACGCUGGCGGCGUGCCUAACACAUGCAAGUCGAACGAAGCAAUCGGGAUGAAGUUUUCGGAUGGAUUCCUGGUUGACUGAGUGGCGGACGGGUGAGUAACGCGUGGGAUAACCUGCCUCACACUGGGGGAGUAACAGUUAGAAAUAGGCUGCUAAUACCGCAUAAGCGCACAGUACCGCAU
rnacentral:rRNA from 1 species